rnacentral:tRNA from 7 species
GGACAGGUGGCAGAGCGGUUGAAUGCACCGGUCUUGAAAACCGGCGUGGGUGCAAGCCCACCGUGGGUUCGAAUCCCACCCUGUCCGCCA